rnacentral:rRNA from 1 species
UACGAGGGGGGCAAGCGUUGUUCGGAAUUACUGGGGCGUAAAGGGCUCGUAGGCGGCCAACUAAGUCAGACGUGAAAUCCCUCGGCUUAACCGGGGAACUGCGUCUGAUACUGGAUGGCUUGAGGUUGGGAGAGGGAUGCGGAAUUCCAGGUGUAGCGGUGAAAUGCGUAGAUAUCUGGAGGAACACCGGUGGCGAAGGCGGCAUCCUGGACCAAUUCUGACGCUGAGGAGCGAAAGCCAGGGGAGCAAAGCGGG